CAGCUGACUCCAAGGCAGGAACAUCAUGGCCGAGCAAAGCUGCUUACUUCUUAGCAUCUGAAAAGCAGAGCAAGGCAGCAGCAGAGAACAGUGAAGGGAAUGGAUGCAUUACCCAAAGCCACGUCUCUAUGGUCCACUCAGAUGCACCCAGAUCCGAAGGAUUCAGUCAAGGCUCGAAGCCCUGGAGCUCACUGUAGAGUCCCUCUCGAGUCUGCGUAAGGAGGCUGAAGGUUCUGCAAUGGAAGCUGAAGAAUCCUCACUGGAAGCCAGGAGAUGAUGUCCACAGCGAAGGUGAAGACUGGAGCUCCUCCAAAAAAAACAGAGCAGCUCAUCCUACUGACUUCUGCACUUGAUUGUAGCCAAGAGGCUGAGAAGCGGUCCUGCUGACUUCCAAAUGGGAAUAUUUGUGGUACAUUUCAGUUCCUUCCUCUCUCAUCUACCUCUUCCAGCUUCAGCAAAUGGUCAAUUAUGCUUCUAAAAUGUUCCUUUUGGAGCUUAUACUCCCAGUUAUAGACAUGUAAUAAACUUUAUUUGUUCCUUGUCCUGUUAAAAAUAAAAAUAUACACAAAAUGUUAUUUUAUCUAUAUUUAUUCCUAUAUCACUUGCUCCUGCAGUAUUUCAUAAAUAU
rnacentral:lncRNA from 1 species